AUCGAACGCUGGCGGCAUGCCUUACACAUGCAAGUCGAACGGUAACGCGGGGCAACCUGGCGACGAGUGGCGAACGGGUGAGUAAAGCAUCGGAACGUGCCCAGUAGUGGGGGAUAGCCCGGCGAAAGCCGGAUUAAUACCGCAUACGACCUAAGGGUGAAAGCGGGGGACCGUAAGGCCUCGCGUAAUUGGAGCGGCCG
rnacentral:rRNA from 1 species